CCUACGGGAGGCAGCAGUGGGGAAUAUUGCACAAUGGGGGAAACCCUGAUGCAGCGACGCCGCGUGAGUGAAGAAGUAUUUCGGUACGUAAAGCUCUAUCAGCAGGGAAGAAAAUGACGGUACCUGACUAAGAAGCCCCGGCUAACUACGUGCCCGCAGCCGCGGUAAUACGUAGGGGGCAAGCGUUAUCCGGAUUUACUGGGUGUAAAGGGAGCGUAGACGGCAGCGCAAGUCUGGAGUGAAAUCCCAUGGCUUAACCAUGGAACUGCUUUGGAACCUGUGCAGCUAGAGUGCAGGAGAGGUAAGCGGAAUUCCUAGUGUAGCGGUGAAAUGCGUAGAUAUUAGGAGGAACACCAGUGGCGAAGGCGGCUUACUGGACUGUAACUGACGUUGAGGCUCGAAAGCGUGGGGAGCAAACAGGAUUAGAUACCCCAGUAGUC
rnacentral:rRNA from 1 species